CUAGUAUUUUCAGAGUAGUACCAAGGUUGUAGCUUCAAGAGAGAUCAGUCAUUUUCCGAGUAGUACCGAGGUUGUAGCUUCAAGAGAGAUUGAUUGAGUCAUGGCAAACCCAACUGAAACACAAUCAACAGAAAACUACAAAAGUUCUGAUGAUGAAUCAGAAAGUG